UACCAACAACAACCCUUUUUAUUUUUUCAUUUUACUCGUAAGAGUAAAACUCCUUUUCCCAUCUUCAAUAGAAGGUGGGAUUUUUUU
rfam:Enterococcus termitis strain LMG 8895 17, whole genome shotgun sequence.